rnacentral:rRNA from 1 species
UACGUAGGGUGCAAGCGUUGUCCGGAAUUAUUGGGCGUAAAGGGCUCGUAGGCGGUUUGUCGCGUCGGGAGUGAAAACCUUGGGCUUAACUCAGGGCUUGCUUUCGAUACGGGCAGACUAGAGGUAUGCAGGGGAGAGCGGAACUCCUGGUGUAGCGGUGGAAUGCGCAGAUAUCAGGAAGAACACCGGUGGCGAAGGCGGCUCUCUGGGCCUUACCUGACGCUGAGGAGCGAAAGCGUGGGUAGCGAACAGG